rnacentral:rRNA from 1 species
UUAGCGAUUUAAUUACAACUCCAAACCCCUGUGACUUACCUAUGUUGCCUUGGCAGGUCGUGGUGUGUAGCGUGAUCGCUAUAAGGGAUCACCGCCUCGCACCACGCUGAAAGACCUGUCAAAGGACCCCUAAACUCUGUCUUACAACUGUAUCUCUGAGUCUAUUAUAUAAACAAGUUAAAACUUUCAACAACGGAUCUCUUGGCUCUGGCAUCGAUGAAGAACGCAGCGAAAUGCGAUAAGUAAUGUGAAUUGCAGAAUUCAGUGAAUCAUCGAAUCUUUGAACGCACAUUGCGCCUGAUAGUAUUCUGUCAGGCAUGCCUGUUCGAGCGUCAUUUCAACCCCCAAGCCCUAAUCUGCUUGACGUUGGGAGUUUACGGAGACGUAAUUCCUCAAAUAUAGUGGCGGAGCUAGGUCGUGCUCUAAGCGUAGUAACCACACUCUCGCUUCUGCAGCCGGCCUAGGUCUUGCCGUAAAACCCCUAUAUUUAUUUUUUUACUGGUUGACCUCGGAUCAGGUAGGAAUACCCGCUGAACUUAAGCAUAUCAU